GGACCCGCACAAGCGGUGGAGCAUGUGGUUUAAUUCGAUGCAACGCGAAAACCUUACCUACUCUUGACAUACUUGGAAGCUCUUGUAAUGAGAGUGUGCCUUUUGGAACCAAGAUACAGGUGCUGCAUGGCUGUCGUCAGCUCGUGUCGUGAGAUGUUCCGUUAAGUCGGAUAACGAGCGCAACCCUUACCCUUAUUUGCCAGCGAUUCGGUCGGGAACUAUAAGGAGACUGCCGGUGAUAAACCGGAGGAAGGCGGGGACGACGUCAAGUCAUCAUGGCCCUUACGACCAGGGCUACACACGUGCUACAAUGGGACGUACAAAGGGAAGCGAACCCGCGAGGGCAAGCA
rnacentral:rRNA from 1 species